AUUGAACGCUGGCGGCAGGCUUAACACAUGCAAGUCGAACGAGUGGCGGCCGGGUGAGUAAUGCAUGGGAAUCUGGCUAAUAGCGGGGGAUAACUACUCGAAAGUGUAGCUAAUACCGCGUACCAUAGGAUGAGCCCACGUUGGAUUAGGUAGUUGGUGGGGUAAAGGCUCACCAAGCCAACGAUCCCUAGCUGGUCUGAGAGGAUGACCAGACACACUGGGACUGAGACACGGCCCAGACUCUUACGGGAGGCAGCAGUGGGGAAUAUUGGGCAAUGGGGGCAACCUGAUGCAGCCAUCCCGCGUGAAUGAUGAAGGCCUUCGGGUUGUAAAGUCCUUUAGGUAGAGAGGCGUUAACUACAGAAGAAGCACCGGCUAACUCCGUGCCAGCAGCCGCGGUAAUUC
rnacentral:rRNA from 1 species